GAUACCCUGCCGUGUGCGUGGUGAAGCUGAAGUUAUGAACCAACACCAUUACCUGGGGAGCCGGACUCUGUUGGCGGCAUGUAGGCCUUCGUAGGAAGGAACAUAAAGCGAACAGGAGGCGCCCACCUGCAAGAGCGGGUUCAGGUAACAUUCAGCGAUAGCGCCAUGGCGGGGUUUUU
rnacentral:other from 1 species